GACGAACGCUGGCGGCGUGCCUAAUACAUGCAAGUAGAACGCUGAAGGCGGAGCUUGCUUCUCCGGAUGAGUUGCGAACGGGUGAGUAACGCGUAGGUAACCUGCCUGGUAGCGGGGGAUAACUAUUGGAAACGAUAGCUAAUACCGCAUAACAGUAGAUAUCGCAUGAUAUCUGCUUGAAAGGUGCAAUUGCAUCACUACCAGAUGGACCUGCGUUGUAUUAGCUAGUUGGUGAGGUAACGGCUAACCAAGGCGACGAUACAUAGCCGACCUGCGAGGGUGAUCGGCCAAACUGGGACUGAGACACGGCCCAGAAUCCUGCGGGAGGCAGCAGUAGGGGAUCUUCGGCAAUGGACGGAAGGCUGAACGAGCAACGCCGCGUGAGUGAAGAAGGUUGUCGGAUCGUAAAGCUCUGUUGUAAGAGAAGAACGAGUGUGAGAGUGGAAAGUUCACACUGUGACGGUAUCUGACCAGAAAGGGACGGCUAACUACGUG
rnacentral:rRNA from 1 species